GGGACAGCAAACGGUGCCUGUCCCCUGAGGAGGAGGAGUACGCGGUCAGCGGGUGGAACCUGAACGUGAUGCCGGUGCUGCAGCAGUCCGUCCUGUGCCACAUCAACGCCGACAUCUCGGGCAUGAAGGUGCCCUGGCUCUACGUGGGGAUGGUGUUCUCGGCCUUCUGCUGGCACAUCGAGGACCACUGGAGCUACUCCAUCAACUACCUCCACUGGGGGGAGCCCAAGACGUGGUACGGGGUGGGAUGAG